GGUCCCGGCAGGGGUGAAAAACUGCAUGACACGCCAGCGAACGUGGCGGCCAUCUUCCUCUUCUGGGGACGUCAGCCGAGCCAGUUACUGCUGGAGAGGAGCGUUGCGCAAGCGCGCCUCAGACGGUCACAGGUAACUCCCAUCUGACGGGCGAGGCGUCGCCGUCGUCGCCGGAAGUUUGGCGUAUCUGCGCCGCGGGAGAGGCGGCGGUCGCGACAGAAGCGGCUGUCUCCUGAUACCCGGAUGUGAGGCGAUCCGCUGGCUCGUAUUGGACCCUCUGCCAAGAGUAAGGAAGUUACAGGAUUUUUUUAAGUUAAUCCCCAAACACAAGAAGUUAUUAGAAGCAUCAUUCAUUGGAAAUAUCAUCAGUCAAUUUAAAGAAAAAGUGAUAUGUGAUUUGUUUCAAUAAGUGAAAAACUGUAAACUUUGAAUAACACCAUGGGACCCAUACAGAGUGCUGCUAGUGAUGCUGCAAGUGCUCCCAAGAAGCAGGGAAAAGUCAUGAGAUUAUAAGAAAAAGUUGAAUUGCUUGAUAAGUACCAUUGAUUGAGGCCUGCAGCUACAGUUGCCCUCCAAUUCAAGCCUACUCAGUGUGAAGAGUGAAAACAAGGAUGAAGACAUUUAUGAUGAUCCACUUCUAUUUAAUUGAUAGUAAAUAAUCAUCAUGCCAUACAAUUAAUAAACUUAUCUGUUGUAUGUGUGUCUUCGUGUGAAAAUCUAAUAACUUAUGACAAGAACUGUAUGAGACGUUUUUCUUUCAUCAUCAUCAUCAUCAUCAUUGCUUAAGUAUUCAUCGUAUAGAAAAUCAUGUACAAGACUUGUGUAGAAGUGGAUAGCUUAUCCUUACUUAGGCAUAAGGUGCUGUGUAAUGUGUUAAGAGGAUAUUUUAAGGAAUGAUUUUGUCAAAUUUUCAUGAGUUAUGGUGGCUGAAAGAUCAGUUCUAUCUUGUGGGAAAAGAAUUAAAUGGCAGCACAAAAGGAAAUCUAUGUUAAUAGAGUAUUUUAUUAAACGAAAAAGGUUAGAUAAGAACUUUAAACUAACAGUCUCAGUAAACAAAGAAAGAAACCUGUUAGCUGUAAGAGAUGUUUCAAAUGAAUCAAAGUCUAAUAACUGUAGACUUCAGAAGAAAAAAGUUUUCAAAAUCUUUGUCAAAACAGGUCAGUGAUAAAUAACUCCUCCAGUAAUAGGGCUAGGCCUGAAAACCAUUAUUAAUUAAAAAAUUAACAAAACAGUUUGAAACUGAAUUAAGUUUUUUCAUAAAAAAUUGUAUAUCAAAUUAGAAUUAAAUUUUCUUCAAAAUUCUAUUGCCUUGCCCAAAAGUCAAGCAAAUAUCUUUCAGCCUUCAUACCAGCUUUUCUCAUGUCUUAGGGAUGACUGAAACAUUAUUUGAAGCAAACUAGUAGUUUUAUUGAAAAUGUACAUCAGCCACAAAGUUGAUUUUUAAGACCUUCUCAGAAUAAUACCAGACAUUCAGCAUUUGCAUCUACCAGGACACGAAAAUCCUCUCAAAAACUACUGCGAAAAGGAGGACCUUACUCAGGAAUGAUGUCCAUUCAAGAGAAGUCAAAAGAAAAUUCCUCCAGUGUUAUUAAAAAAAGUGAAGAUAAGAAUUUAGAAACACAAAUUCAAGGUUCUCAGACGAAUCUGGCAAAAAAAUCAGGCCCAAAGGAAACUAUUAAAUCACUGGUUAAAUCUUCUAGUGAGAGUAAAAUAAAUCAGUCUGAAUUAGGAACAUGCAUGAGUACAAGGUCAUCAAAAGCUGCAUCCAGUGAUAAAAAAGCUAGCAAGUCCAUUAAUAAAAAUAUGGUGACUCUGAAGGGACAUUCACAACAAGAAUCUACAAAAAAGAAAAAAUUACCUCAGAAAAAGUCAGUGCAUGGAACUCCUAAAUCAAAUGAACAGCUUAACCGGAGGUCACAAAGACUUCAACAGUUAACAGAAGUUUCAACGAGGUCUCUGCGUAAUAGAGAAAUUCAGGGUCAAGUUCAAGCAGCUAAGCAGAGUUUGCCACCAAGAAAAGAGCACUGUAACAAUACUCAAAGUAAAUCUAAUAAAGUUAAAACAAGUCAAAAACAUGUGAAAAGAAAAGUACUGGAAAUAAAGUCUGACACUAAAGAGGAUGAAAAUCUCGUAAUUAACGAAGUAAUAAAUUCCCCCAAAGGAAAAAAACGCAAAGUAGAGCAUCAGACAGCUUAUACUUGUAGUUCUCAGUGCAUGAAAGGAUCUGAGAAGUGUCUUCAGAAGAAUACUAGAAAAGAGGAAACAAAAUCUGUACCUGUAACUUCUGAGCUAAAAAGAUCAAAAACAGUUACUUCAGCAGUCUCUAAAAAGAAUGAGAUGAAGAAGUCAGUUCACACACAAGUGAAUAUUAGUGCAAAAUCCCAAAAAAGUCCACAGCCAUCAGUGCCUGAACAAAGUGUAGACAGUGAGCUGGAACAAGCAGGAAAGAGCAAACGGGGUAGCAUUCUCCAGCUCUGUGAAGAAAUUGCUGGUGAAAUUGAGUCAGAUACUGUAGAGGUAAAAAAGGAAUCUUCACAAAUGGAAAGUGUAAAGGAGGAGAAGCCUACAGAAAUAAAAUUGGAAGAGGCUAAUAAUGAAAGACAAAUACUUCAUCAGAAGGAAACAAGUCAGGAUGUUCAAUGCAAUCGUUUCUUCCCCAGUAGAAAAACAAAGCCUGUGAAAUGUAUAUUAAAUGGAAUAAACAGUUCAGCUAAAAAGAACUCCAAUUGGACUAAAAUUAAACUCUCAAAAUUUAACUCUGUGCAGCAAAACAAGUUGGACUCUCAAGUUUCCCCUAAAUUGGGCUUAAUACAAACCAGUUUUUCACUACCAGCCUUAGAAAUGCAUCAUCCAGCAACUCAAAGUAUAUUUUUAGGAACAAAACCACAUGAUGAUAAAAAUAUAGCUUGCCAGCAGGAAGAAAUUAAGGAAAUUAAUUCUAAAGAAGUUAAAGUUAAUGAUGUUACAGUUGAAAUUAAUAAAACCACAAAAAGGGCCUCUGAAAAUUGUCAUUUGGAUAAUCAGAUAAAACCACCCCCUGACCCACCGUUGGAUAACCAGAUGAAAGAUUCUUUUGAAUCAACACCAGAUAAGAAUUUCAGUCUAUGUUUGGAAUCCAAGCUUCAAAACAAUCUUGUGGGAAAUACCUCUACUGUUUCAGCUUCGCUCAGUCAAGCAAAAAUUGAUACAGGAGAGAAUAAAUUUCCAGGUUUGGCUCCCAAACAACACACUAUACUCAGUAACCAAACAUCUCAGACCAGUGAUAACAGGGAGACACCACCAAAUCAGUCUUGGCCUAAAUGUAAUUCCCACUUGGAGAUAACAAUUCCAAAGGACUUGAAACUAAGAGAAGCAGAAAAAGUUGAUCAAAAACAGUUGAUCAUAGAUGCAGGACAAAAAAGAUUUGGAGCAGUUUCCUGUAAUGUUUGUGGCAUGCUCUACACAGCUUCAAAUCCAGAAGAUGAAACACAGCAUCUGCUCUUCCACAACCAAUUUAUAAGUGCUGUAAAAUAUGUGGGUUGGAAAAAAGAAAGAAUUCUGGCCGAAUAUCCUGAUGGCAGGAUAAUAAUGGUACUUCCUGAGGACCCAAAGUAUGCUCUGAAAAAGGUUGACGAGAUUAGAGAGAUGGUUGAUAAUGACUUAGGUUUCCAACAGGCUCCACUAAUGUGCUAUUCCAGAACUAAAACACUUCUCUUUAUUUCUAAUGACAAAAAAGUAGUUGGCUGCCUAAUUGCAGAACAUAUCCAGUGGGGCUACAGAGUUAUAGAAGAGAAACUUCCAGUUAUCAGGUCAGAAGAAGAAAAAGUCAGAUUUGAAAGGCAGAAAGCCUGGUGCUGCUCAACAUUGCCAGAGCCUGCAAUCUGUGGGAUCAGCCGGAUAUGGGUAUUCAGCAUGAUGCGUCGGAAGAAAAUUGCUUCUCGCAUGAUUGAAUGCCUGAGGAGUAAUUUUAUAUAUGGCUCAUAUUUGAGUAAAGAAGAAAUUGCUUUCUCAGAUCCCACUCCUGAUGGAAAACUCUUUGCAACACAGUACUGUGGCACUGAAGCUUACACGUGGCGGCCAGUGAGAAAGUAGAGGGGCUUGUCGUCACUGCUGUUCGCAGUUUGAAACUCGUCCCGGAGGCGGAACUGCCACUCAUCCUCCAGCUCUAAGCGGACAAUUGUUUGGCGUAAGGAGCUUCUGUCUUGGCAGAUGACACACAGGGUAGCACCUUCAGAAAAAAGGGCAGAAGUGCAUCUUAGGUUCAGGGGUUGAAUUAUGAAGAGCCUACCAUCUUUUCUGAUUAGGCCCUCUAAGCUGGCACAUCUGAGAACCCACAUGGGAAACAAUGGCAUUCACAAACUAAAGACACUGAAUUUGGAUUACCUUUGAGAAACUUAAAUUUCUUCAGAAGAUCAGCACCUACAAAAGAGUCACAGAGGUACAAGAGAAGUCCACUGAAAAACACCCCUUCACAGUUGACAUUGCUGGAGUGGGGUCUGGAGCUGAUGUAGCAUAUGGCCACCUGGAAUCAUCAAGCAGACAGCAUGUGCAUUUCAAAAAAUAGGCAAAACAUCUGCACUUUAGCUGAAUGAGUCGGUACCUUUCUAUUUAGCUAUUUCAGGGUAAGGUGAAGGACAUUAAAUUUUUUUAAUUGAAAUUUAAAUAGGUUGGCUAUUUAAACUCUGCACCUCUUUUAUUUAGUGUGCCAAGUUUUAACCUAUUUAAAUCUGGUUUCUCUUAAUAAAGGACAGUUAGGAGAGAAUCAGUAGUAAGAAACAAAACAGGCCUCUCCAACCUAAACAUCUUUGUAAAAUAAAAAAUAAAUUGCCUUCCACAAAAAGGCACACUUAGGAUGAAAUGUUUAGAUUAAAUUUUUCUUCUCAGCAAUAAAGUAAUCAGCUUUCAUUUAAAUACACUUAAGUUUCCAGACAGAAGCUUCAAGCAGUGCAUAAUUUUAAAUAGUUUUAUAUGGCUUUCAUGUAGGGAAGACAGGUUUACAAAAAUUACAGGGAAGUAAGAUAGUUGGGAGACCUUGAGACCAGGGGCGUGGCUUACUGUUGGCACCUGACCGCUGGGAUCCAGCCACUGGUUCCUCUCUCUGUAGCUGGGGAACCCUUCAUUUUACCGUACCUCAGUUUCCCAGUCUGGUGCAAUAACAGUAGUCCCUGUUUCCUGGGGCUGUUUUGUGAAAUAAAUACUGUAAACCCCUUAGUAGGUAUUCAUUGUUAGCUGCUGUUAGUAUUAGUAGUGUUGAGACUGUGUUGUCUAACAUCUAGAGCCUUGCACCCUGGGGUAGAAGAGUCUGGAGGCCGGGGUUAGACACAUGGCUUACAGGGAUACUAUAAAAAGCACUAUUACUAUUACACUUGAUGGUUUUUAAGGUACCUCUUGUCUCUAAAAUUCUACAAAUCAUGGUGUAGAUUACAUUUUCAUUCUUAGGAAAUUUCAGUAAAAUGUUUAUACUGCUUGAUUUAAGUCCAUUUCCAGAAUUCAGUUGGAUUUCAGCCUGAAGAUACUGUAUGUCAGUACAUACAAAGAAAAAAGCCUAAAAGGAUACAGUACACCAAAAUGUCACUGUUCCCAUUACAAGGCAUUUUUUUCUUUAUACCUUUUAAAUUCUUCACAAAGAGGAUAUUAUGUUGACAAAAUUAAAUAUUUUUAAAAUAUUACUAAUAAUUGUAGGGAGAAGCUUCAUGGCAGAGCCCGUAAAGUCUUGAAGGCCAUCAGUGGUCAAAGGUACAAGUGGCAAAUUUUUUAAAAAGCUAACACUGAUGAGGAAUUUGAGACAAGAAAGAAUGCACAGUGAGGAAACAAUGUCAAAGAAAGAAAUCCCGGAAUGAGAAGUGGUGAAGUGACAGCUACACAGGUCUCCUGUGAUACCCUGAAUUGUCCAGCCAUCCCUUAGCUUCUCUUUUGCCUAAAACAGUGGCUGAGACACUGUGUGCCUCUGAAGAACUGGUCUUGUGGAGAAACGUCAUCACAUGAUUAUAAUAUGGUCUGAUACAUUUUAGGACAGCAAGCAACUGCUUCUGGCCACACAGUCACUAGGUGGGCUGGGUGGAACUGACCUCUGACUAAGCUUGGCAUAUUGACUGGCUCACUGUGGAGAGCGGAAGUGGGGGUGGGGAGGGAGUUGCCAUCACAUCUUGUGUGAGCCUUUGCGGUACGAGUAUGUCACAGGCUCCUUUUUUGGUCUUCAUUUAAGCUUUCAAAUGGGAGGUAAAAGGGGAAAGAAAUGGAUGGAAAUGGGUAAAAGCACAGCAUUCGCCCUGGUCCCCUUACCUCUGGUCCAAUGUUAAGGUAGCAGUCAAUGGCCAACACGGGACUCUUGAAGUUGUGGAUAGCUUUGGGGAAGAGUUUGUAGGAAGCAUGCUGAAGGAACUUCUCCAGGAGAAACUGCGCAGGGGCUGCCAAUAGUGUGUGUUCACUGUCCGGAGCACAGACAUACUGAAGGGGCAAGAUGGGUGCUAAGCUCUCUGACACCUGAAAUCAGAUCCGAGAUUAUCAUGGGAAAUGUGUCUGUCCCUGGAUGAAACGGGCAAAGAAAAACGGCAUUGCAUACUAACAGCCCCCAAAUAGUAGGAGCACGGUGACAAAUGCUAGGCUCAGAGGCUAGUUUGUCAUUCUUGGGUUCUGGAAAACUUUUCCUCCUCUUGGGAAUAGGUCGGGUCUCACUUAACACACAGCAAGGACAGAAGAAAAUAGAAAUGUAGGCUUCUUUGACAGUUACUGCACUUAGCAACAUUGUGAGGACCAACAGGAACCCUUUCACAGUGCUGCUGGGUGUGGAUGGGUUAAAUUUCAUCCCAGCACAUCCACAAAAUAAAAGUAAAUUGGUUUUCUAAGCUUCACUGUGGAGUUCCAUGUUAUAAAUUAUUAGAUACCAGUAAAUCUCUCAAACAGAAAAGGGUAUGCGCCCAUGGAAUUCACCCUCAAAAGAUGUUGAUUGGUCUUAACUUCUUAAAAAAAAAAAAA